rnacentral:rRNA from 1 species
UACGUAGGGGGCAAGCGUUGCUCGGAAUCACUGGGCGUAAAGGGUGCGUAGGCGGGUCUUUAAGUCAGGGGUGAAAUCCUGGAGCUCAACUCCAGAACUGCCUUUGAUACUGAGGAUCUUGAGUUCGGGAGAGGUGAGUGGAACUGCGAGUGUAGAGGUGAAAUUCGUAGAUAUUCGCAAGAACACCAGUGGCGAAGGCGGCUCACUGGUCCGGUACUGACGCUGAGGUGCGAAAGCGUGGGGAGCAAACAGG